GAUGAACGCUAGCGGCAGGCUUAACACAUGCAAGUCGAGGGGCAGCGGGGUGUAGCAAUACAUCGCCGGCGACCGGCGCACGGGUGCGUAACACGUAUGGAAUCUGCCCUUUACUGGGGGAUAGCCCGGAGAAAUCCGGAUUAAUACCCCAUAACAAGCGAGGUGGCAUCAUCUUGCUUUGAAAGCUCCGGCGGUAAAGGAUGACCAUGCGCCCGAUUAGCUAGUUGGUGAGGUAAUGGCUCACCAAGGCUACGAUCGGUAGGGGGCCUGAGAGGGUUAUCCCCCACACUGGUACUGAGACACGGACCAGACUCCUACGGGAGGCAGCAGUGAGGAAUAUUGCGCAAUGGAGGCAACUCUGACGCAGCCAUGCCGCGUGCAGGAAGAAGGCGCUACGCGUUGUAAACUGCUUUUAACCGGGAAGAAACCCUCCGACGUGUCGGAGGUUGACGGUACCGGAGGAAUAAGCACCGGCUAACUUCGUGCCAGCAGCCGCGGUAAAGUAG
rnacentral:rRNA from 1 species